rnacentral:rRNA from 1 species
GAUGAACGCUGGCGGCGUGCCUAAUACAUGCAAGUCGAGCGAAUGGAUUAAGAGCUUGCUCUUAUGAAGUUAGCGGCGGACGGGUGAGUAACACGUGGGUAACCUGCCCAUAAGACUGGGAUAACUCCGGGAAACCGGGGCUAAUACCGGAUAACAUUUUGAACCGCAUGGUUCGAAAUUGAAAGGCGGCUUCGGCUGCCACUUAUGGAUGGACCCGCGUCGCAUUAGCUAGUUGGUGAGGUAACGGCUCACCAAGGCAACGAUGCGUAGCCGACCGGAGAGGGUGAUCGGCCACACUGGGACGGAGAAACGGCCCAGACUCCUACGGGAGGCAGCAGUAGGGAGUCUUCCGCAAUGGACGAAAGUCUGACGGAGCAACGCCGCGUGAGUGAUGAAGGCUUUCGGGUCGUAAAACUCUGUUGUUAGGGAAGAACAAGUGCUAGUUGAAUAAGCUGGCACCUUGACGGUACCUAACCAGAAAGCCACGGCUAACUACGUGCCAGCCGCCGCGGUAA